AUUGAACGCUGGCGGCAUGCUUUACACAUGCAAGUCGGACGGCAGCACAGAGAAGCUUGCUUCUUGGGUGGCGAGUGGCGAACGGGUGAGUAAUAUAUCGGAACGUACCGAGUAAUGGGGGAUAACUAAUCGAAAGAUUAGCUAAUACCGCAUAUUCUCUGAGGAGGAAAGCAGGGGACCUUCGGGCCUUGCGUUAUUCGAGCGGCCGAUAUCUGAUUAGCUAGUUGGUGGGGUAAAGGCCUACCAAGGCGACGAUCAGUAGCGGGUCUGAGAGGAUGAUCCGCCACACUGGGACUGAGACACGGCCCAGACUCCUACGGGAGGCAGCAGUGGGGAAUUUUGGACAAUGGGCGCAAGCUUGAUCCAGCCAUGCCGCGUGUCUGAAGAAGGCCUUCGGGUUGUAAAGGACUUUUGUCAGGGAAGAAAAGGCUGUUGCUAAUACCGACAGCUGAUGACGGUACCUGAAGAAUAAGCACCGGCUAACUACGU
rnacentral:rRNA from 1 species